rnacentral:rRNA from 1 species
GACGAACGCUGGCGGCGUGCCUAAUACAUGCAAGUUGAACGCUUCUUUCUUAUCGAACUUCGGUUCACCAAGAAAGAGGAGUAGCGAACGGGUGAGUAACACGUGGGUAACCUGCCCAUCAGCGGGGGAUAACACUUGGAAACAGGUGCUAAUACCGCAUAAUGCUUUUUCUCACAUGAGAGAAAGCUGAAAGGCGCUUUUGCGUCACUGAUGGAUGGACCCGCGGUGCAUUAGCUAGUUGGUAGGGUAACGGCCUACCAAGGCAACGAUGCAUAGCCGACCUGAGAGGGUGAUCGGCCACACUGGGACUGAGACACGGCCCAGACUCCUACGGGAGGCAGCAGUAGGGAAUCUUCGGCAAUGGACGAAAGUCUGACCGAGCAACGCCGCGUGAGUGAAGAAGGUUUUCGGAUCGUAAAACUCUGUUGUUAGAGAAGAACAAGGAUGAGAAGAGAAUGUUCAUCCCUUGACGGUAUU